UCGGACGGGCAGACGGUCGCUGGACCCGGCCCCGCGGCGGGUCGAGAGGAAAGUCCGGGCUCCACAGGGCAAGGCGCUGGGUAAUUACCAGCGGGGGUAACCUCGGGAAAGCGCAACAGAAAGCAGACCGCCGCCAUUUUUGGCGGUAAGGGUGAAACGGUGAGGUAAGAGCUCACCGGCCGGCUGGGCGACCAGCCGGGCUAGGCAAGCCCCGCCAGGAGCAAGACAGAAUAGGGAGACGCAGGCUGCCCGUCUAGUCUCCGGGUUUGUCGCUCGAGCGUCGGAGAGAUCCGCCGCCUAGAGGUAUGACCGUCAGCGGUCCGGGACCAGAUGAGUCCGGGCCGUCACAGAACCCGGCUUAUCGACCGUCCGACACC
rnacentral:RNase_P_RNA from 1 species